rnacentral:lncRNA from 1 species
UUCUGCAUCCUGAAACGGGGUUGUGCUUGCAGGGACAGAGCUCACCUGUUGGGUAAUGAGCAUAAAGAGGUAGUUUUUCAUGGGGAUUAUUGGGAGAGGAAGAGGGGAAUUCAUGGUUCAAAUUAAAAUAAUGGAAGCAACACCAAACCACUGCUUUGCUACCCUUCUACAAUUAAAAAUAAUACCCCAACAAACCCACAAGAACACCCCCAACAACCCUCAAAGAUUCUCCCUACUGCACUGUUUAAUCUCUUUGGCUCCUGUUUUCCCUGACCAGCUGAGGGAUUUAAUUUCCAGGGAAUCAGACGUCCAAUUCAGGGCAUUGUUUUGGGAAAUGUGCACACGAUUUACCACACACAGUCCUGAAAGUCACCGUCAGACCCAGCACUCCCAGCACGCUCCAGUCCCAUCCCUGCUCUGCUGGGAGGUGAAAGGGGCUUUAUUGGGAAGGGUUUGAUGCAUUUGGCAUGUCUUUGAACCUGGCUCCCCCAAAGGGAGAGAAUGAACUCAGGCGGAGAAAGAAAAAAGGAAAUAAAAGGGCCCUUCCCAUCUGCCCGGCUGCAUUCAAUAGGGAGCUUUUUAAAAGGUAUAAUAGAGGUUUGUGUGUUCCUGCUGAGAUUUGUUCUGGUCAACUUCUCCAGGGCGCUCAGACAGGGCGGCGUGGUGUGCCUGCCCUCCCCCAGCACCCUCAGAAAAAAAAUUACAGUCGAUUUCCUUUUUUUUUAAACUAGUUUUUUUUUUUUUCUGCAAAAAGUGUAUGCCCUGCACACACAUUGCUCUUGCACAAAAGCAACUCAAGCCAGCCCUGCCAAAAACUAAUGUGGGUGUUUCUCUGGUUUUUUAGCAGCAGUUCAGUAAAGCCUGGUGCUCCCAAGCAUGGCAUUGAGAGCCCCUGCCCUUGGAACGAGGUCCAUCCAGGUAGCAACACUGAAAAAAGCCAUUCCAGCCAAGAGGCCCUUCAGGGAUUUUUUUUUCCCUUUUCAAAACAAACCAGUUUAUAGGAAAACCCCUGUGGUUUUGGUUUUGUGUUUUGUUCUUCCCCCUCUGAGUGCCCUGCACCCUGCGAGCUCCCGGGGAGCACAAAAGCGUGUCCUGGCGGGCACAUCAUCGGCUCGGCAGGUCGUGCCGCGGGAAUUCAGCUCACACUCCCGCGGAUGUGUGAGUCUGGAACAAAUCUGGCUCACCCGCUUGCCUUGGCUGGCCUCCGUAGGGCUAAGAGGGGUGGAAGGCAGUAAAAUCUCCUUUCAGUCUAUAAAAAUCUGCAGAGAUAUUUGGAAUGUGCAGAGGGAGCAGAUCUCCUGGGUAAAGCCGAGCAAUGAUUAAAAUAGUCACUUUUCUGACCGUAAUCGCAAUUUAAAUACUGCAGCUUUUGUUUGCAGAAUAGCUUUGGUUUAUAUUCUAGUGACAGUCACAAAACUCUAGGGGUUGUUUUUGGAGUUAGUGGCAAAAACAUGUGGUUUGAAUUUAAAGUCUUAAAGUUAGAGGAGCAACAUUUCUCCAGCAAAGAUAUUGCCAGUGUCUCUAUGAGUCAUAA